rnacentral:rRNA from 1 species
GUCCUAGCGGUAAACGUUGGAUACUAGGUGUUGGAUCUCUAAGAAAGGUUCAGUGCCGCAGUUAACACAUUAAGUAUCCCACCUGGGGAGUACGGCCGCAAGGUUGAAACUCAAAGGAAUUGACGGGGCCCGCACAAGCGGUGGAGUAUGUGGUUUAAUUCGACGCAACGCGAAGAACCUUACCUGGGCUUGACAUCCUGCUGUAAGCUCUAGAGAUAGAGUCCCUCCGCAAGGAGCAGCAGGACAGGUGCUGCAUGGCUGUCGU